rnacentral:rRNA from 1 species
ACGGGUGAGUAACACGUAGGAACCUGCCCAAGAGAGGGGGACAACCAAGGGAAACUUUGGCUAAUACCGCGUAAUCUCGGGAGAGGAAAGUUGCCUCGCAAGAGGUGAUGCUUUUGGAGGGGCCUGCGUCCGAUUAGCUAGUUGGUGAGGUAAAAGCUCACCAAGGCGAUGAUCGGUAACUGGUCUGAGAGGACGACCAGUCACACUGGGACUGAGACACGGCCCAGACUCCUACGGGAGGCAGCAGUGGGGAAUAUUGGACAAUGGGGGCAACCCUGAUCCAGCGAUGCCGCGUGAGUGAAGAAGGCCUUCGGGUCGUAAAGCUCUUUAGGUUGGGAGGAAGUAUACGUGGGGAUAAUCCACGUAUGUUGACUGUACCGACAGAAUAAGCACCGGCAAACUCUGUGCCAGCAGCCGCGGUAAUACAGAGGGUGCGAGCGUUAAUCGGAGUUACUGGGCGUAAAGGGCGCGUAGGCGGUAAUAUGGGUGUGAUGUGAAAGCCCUGGGCUUAACCUAGGAAGUGCAUCUCAAACUAUAUGACUGGAGUAUAUGAGAGGGUGGCGGAAUUUCCGGU